rnacentral:rRNA from 1 species
GACGAACGCUGGCGGCGUGCUUAACACAUGCAAGUCGAACGGAAAGGCCCUGCUUUUGUGGGGUGCUCGAGUGGCGAACGGGUGAGUAACACGUGAGUAACCUGCCCUUGACUUUGGGAUAACUUCAGGAAACUGGGGCUAAUACCGGAUAGGAGCUCCUGCUGCAUGGUGGGGGUUGGAAAGUUUCGGCGGUUGGGGAUGGACUCGCGGCUUAUCAGCUUGUUGGUGGGGUAGUGGCUUACCAAGGCUUUGACGGGUAGCCGGCCUGAGAGGGUGACCGGCCACAUUGGGACUGAGAUACGGCCUAGACUCCUACGGGAGGCAGCAGUGGGGAAUAUUGCACAAUGGGCGGAAGCCUGAUGCAGCAACGCCGCGUGCGGGAUGACGGCCGUCGGGUUGUAAACCGCUUUCGCCUGUGACGAAGCGUGAGUGACGGUAAUGGGUAAAGAAGCACCGGCUAACUACGUG